UACGGAGGGUGCAAGCGUUAUCCGGAUUCACUGGGUCUAAAGGGUGCGUAGGUGGGCAGGUAAGUCAGUGGUGAAAUCUCCGGGCUUAACCCGGAAACUGCCGUUGAUACUAUUUGUCUUGAAUAUUGUGGAGGUAAGCGGAAUAUGUCAUGUAGCGGUGAAAUGCUUAGAUAUGACAUAGAACACCAAUUGCGUAGGCAGCUUACUACACGAUCAUUGACGCUGAGGCACGAAAGCGUGGGGAGCAAACAGG
rnacentral:rRNA from 1 species